UACGUAGGCAGCGAGCGUUGUUCGGAGUUACUGGGCGUAAAGGGUGUGUAGGCGGUUUUCUAAGUUUGGUGUGAAAUCUCCCGGCUCAACCGGGAGGGUGCGCCGAAAACUGGGAGACUAGAGUGCGGGAUGGGAGAGUGGAAUUCCCAGUGUAGAGGUGAAAUUCGUAGAUAUUGGGAAGAACACCGGUGGCGAAGGCGGCUCUCUGGACCGAUACUGACGCUGAGGCGCGAAAGCGUGGGGAGCAAACAGG
rnacentral:rRNA from 1 species